GGCUUGGAAGAAGAAAGCAAGCUUACAAGGAGCACUCAGUCAAAGGCGACCAAGCGAACUUGGGAAGUCGCUAAUACACCCCAAGCCGCAAAAAGUGAAGGAGGCGCAACUUGCCAUAGGUGUAAUAAGAAAGGACACCACGUAAAGGAUUGUAGAUUCCCACCGAAUGUUCGAUGUUACCGUUGUAACAGAGAAGGACAUACUUCGAAUGCAUGUCGUAUGCCAGCGCAGGGAGCACCGCAGCAGGGAGCACCGCAGCAGGGAGCUGGGCGCAACGAGCAGUUACCGCCACCACCAAAAAGACAAGAUGUGGCUGGACGAGCCUUCGUAGUCGGGGACCACGAAGGAGGAGAACCGAUCGUUGGUAUGUUUCCUAUACCUACUUGUCUAGAUGUUUACUUAUAAUUCUUGUUUGGUCCAAGUAUAGUAGACUUAGACAUAGUUCAAAUUGUGUAGGAUCGGUUUUAGUUGGGGGAAUAAAUGCCCAUGCUUUAUUUGAUACUGGCGCAACACAUAGUUUUGUGUCUCCCACUUUGACAAAGUGUUGGACCUUUGAGGGCAUGUUCGUUUCGAACGCCAAAGGAAUAGAAACCGCAGGGACCGAGUUAAUGAGGUCUACUGGAACGUAUGAGGAUGUCCCCAUCGUCAUAGAAGGCAUUGAGCUUAAAGGAAAUUUGGUGGAAAUGGAGUUAAACCACUACGAGGUGAUCUUAGGCAUGGAUUGGUUGACAUAUCACAAGGCCGUGAUGGAUUGCCCAAAGACGCGUGUCUACAUCCCUAGGACUGAAGGGAGAAUAGUUUUCCAAGGGAUAAAGAGAAGUACGGGAAUCCCCAUCAUAUCCAUGAUGCAAGCAGAAGAGUUAUUGGAGAAAGGAAGUGAAGCUUAUCUCGCCACUAUCAACAUCAAGGGAUCAGAUAAGGAAGCCGACUUAGACACCAUUCCGGUUGUAGCCGAGUAUACCGAUGUUUUUGAACCGUUGACAGGACCGCCACCAACGCGAGGUGAUGCGUUUACUAUAGAAUUAGAACCUGGUACGGCACCAGUAUCAAAGGCACCGUAUCGCUUGGCACCAGCAGAAAUGGCUGAGUUGAAGAAGCAGCUGGAGGAUCUAAUGGAUAAGGGGUUCAUUAGACCAAGUAGCUCACCAUGGGGAGCGCCUGUCCUGUUUGUCAAGAAGAAGGACGGAAGUUUUAGACUUUGCAUCGAUUAUUGUGGAUUGAACAAAGUGACGAUAAAGAACAAGUACCCUCUACCAAGAAUCGACGAGUUGUUGGACCAACUUCAAGGAGCGUCAUGGUUCUCAAAGAUAGAUUUGGCAUCUGGGUAUCACCAAAUCUCGAUAGCGGAGGAAGACAUAAGGAAGACGGCCUUCCGGACACGUUAUGGGCACUAUGAGUUCGUAGUAAUGCCAUUUGGACUUACUAACGCACCGGCAGCGUUUAUGAAGAUGAUGAACAAUGUGUUUCGGGAAUACUUGGACAAGUGUGUGAUUGUGUUCAUCGACGACAUUUUGGUAUACUCUAAGAGUAAAGGAGAGCAUGAUUGGCAUCUAAGAGUAGUAUUGAACAAGUUGCGAGAGCAGCAGUUGUACGCAAAGUCAAGCAAGUGUAGCUUUUGGCAGCGAGAGAUUGGGUUUUUGGGGCAUAUUGUAUCCGAAGCCGGAGUGGCUGUGGAUCCAGAGAAAAUUGUCGCCAUUACAAAGUGGCCUACACCUGGAAGUGCUACUGAGGUCCGUAGUUUCCUUGGACUGGCAGGAUACUAUAGGAAGUAUGUGAAGGGAUUUGCAAGUACUGCUAAACCCAUGACAAUGUUAACGGGAAAUGAUGUGAAGUUUGUGUGGUCAGACGCUUGUACUAAGAGUUUUGAAAGGCUGAAGGAACAACUAACCCAAACUCCAGUAUUGGUAUUACCAAGGCCAGGUGUACCAUACACGGUUUAUACGGAUGCUUCUGGAACGGGACUAGGAUGUGUGCUUAUGCAAGAGAAGCAAGUGGUCGCUUAUGCAUCAAGACAACUGAGACCGCAUGAGGUCAAUUAUCCGACUCAUGAUUUGGAGUUAGGUGCAGUUGUGUUUGCCCUUAAGAUUUGGAGGUAUUAUCUCUAUGGAGAGAAGGUGCAAGUGUUCACGGAUCACAAAAGUUUGAAGUACAUAUUUACCCAAGGAGACCUGAACCUGAGACAACGCAGAUGGAUAGAGUUAUUAGCAGACUAUAAUCUAGAUAUCGUCUACCACCCAGGAAAAGCAAACCAAGUGGCCGACGCCCUCAGCAGACGUAAGGUCGACGUCUCGGAGGCAAAAGAGGUGCAAGAGUUGGUUGCUACUUUGGCUAGUUUACGGUUAUGUGCUACUACUGUUGAGGAUAGGACAGCUGCAUUGGAUGCCUUAGAUCAAGCAGAUUUGUUAGAAAGGAUUAGUAAAUCUCAACAAGGAGAUGAGUCAUUGCAGAGACUGAUUUCAAAAGAGGUUGUUGGAUAUCGCACCACCACAAAUGGAACUUAUCUAUUCAAAAAUAGGGUGUGUGUGCCGAAUAGUAAGGAUCUGAAGGACGAGAUCUUGAGACAGGCGCACAACUCUCAGUUUUCUAUCCAUCCAGGAAGCACCAAGAUGUAUCAGGACUUGAAACGCUAUUACCAUUGGGAAGGUAUGAAGCGGGAUGUUGCUACUUGGACUUCGCAGUGUCAGACUUGCCAGAUGGUUAAAGCAGAAAGACAAUUACCAAGCGGGCUUUUACAAGAGUUACCACUACCCGAAUGGCAGUGGGAUAUGGUGACAAUGGAUUUUGUUACUGGGCUACCAAUAACAACUGGGAAUAAGGACGCGAUUUGGGUGAUUGUGGAUAGACUCACCAAAUCUGCACAUUUUCUAGCUAUCAAGAAAACUGAUGGAGCAGAUCGUUUAGCGCAAAAGUAUCUGGAAACUGUGGUACGAUUGCAUGGAGUGCCAGUAAGUAUCGUAUCAGACCGUGAUCCAAAGUUUACUUCGGCAUUCUGGCAGGCAUUUCAGAAGGCACUAGGUACAAAGGUACACCUUAGCACGGCUUAUCAUCCACAGACCGAUGGACAGUCUGAGCGGACGAUACAGACGCUUGAGGACAUGCUAAGAGCCUGUGUACUUGAUUGGGCAGGAAAAUGGGGCCAAUUUCUACCAUUGGCAGAGUUUGCUUACAACAAUAGUUACCAUUCGAGCAUUGGGAUGUCUCCAUAUGAGGCUCUAUAUGGGAGACCAUGUCGAACUCCAUUAUGUUGGACAGAAGUGGGGGAGAGACGAGAUUUAGAGCCGGACAUGGUUAAGGAAACCAUAGAACAGGUGGAAUUGCUUAAGUCUAGACUGAAAGAGGCUCACGAUCGGCACAAGAGUUAUGCUGACCAGAGGAGAAAAGCUUUGGAGUUUGAAGUAGGAGAUGAAGUAUACUUGAAAAUGAGAACCUACCGAGGAACAGCCGAGUACCGCAAGUUGAAAAAGUUGAAGCCAAGAUUUUUAGGACCGUAUCGCAUCAUUGAGAGGAUUGGAGCAGUAGCAUAUCGACUUGAGUUACCGCAUGAGUUAUCGGAUAUCCACAAUGUGUUUCAUGUGUCAGUUCUAAGGAAAGUUGUUCGAGAACCAGAGUUGAUUUUACAGCAGCCACCAGAAGAUGUUAGUCGCAAUUUAACAGCUCAAAGCAAACCAGUUAAAGUCUUAGAGAUUAAAGACAUGGAUGUCCAAGGGAAAGUGACCACGAUGAUCCGUGUGAGCUGGGAAAGAGAUGGAAUAUGUGAGGAGACUUGGGAGCCAGAGUCACAGAUGAGAUCGUUUUAUCCAGAGUUGUUUCCGAGUGAUGAGGUACUAGAGGAGGUUUGCGUGAAUUCGGGGGCGAAUUCUUGUUUAGUGGGGGAGAGUUGUCACAUCCCGGGCCCGAGCCCAAUUUUUAGUGACAAGGCCCGUGAUGAUUUGGUCCAUGUAGAGAAAACCCUAGGGUUUUCCCCUUCCUCUUCUAUAAAAAGGAGGCAGCCCCUUAGGUUUUCUCCAGAGACUCAAAACCUAGCGAAGCCCUGCCCAGUUGGAGAGAGAGCAGCCGCCGGCCACCAAACCACCACCGGAGCCACCGCGAGUCACCGGAGCACCGCCGGCGACCGUGUAAUCUCACCGGAGAGGAGAUCUCGCCGUGUUUCGAUCCCUUCUCGUCGUUUUCUUGAGUCUUCUACUAUUUUUCUUCUAGAUCCAGCAACUGGUGAGGGUAAGGAAACCCUAAUCACUCUCUUUAGAUCUCUCAUAUCUCUUUCUUCUUCUUGAUCUCUGAUCUAGGGUUUGGGUGGAAACCAACUCUUGUUCUUGUAGAUCUGGUUAGUAAGGAUCUAUAGAACUCAGAUCUACAUCAACUCUCAUAUCAUCUCGCAGAUCUAGGCUAAGGUGAGUUCGAGGAAGUGCAGGAGUGAUCGUCUCGGUGUGGUGCUGGUUUUCGGGUGUUUGGUUUUCUUUAAGUUGUUUUAUUUUAAGACUUGGUGAUUUGGUUUUAAGCGUUUCCUAUUCGUUUUAGUACGUUUUUGUAAAACAUUUGAAUUCGAUCCUUGGGAAUGAGAUUUGCAUUGGCCUA